AGUAACGCGUGGGUAACCUGCCUCAUACAGGGGGAUAACGAUUGGAAACGAUUGCUAAUACCGCAUAAGCGCACAGUACCACAUGGUACAGUGUGAAAAACUCCGGUGGUAUGAGAUGGACCCGCGUCUGAUUAGCUAGUUGGUGAGGUAACGGCCCACCAAGGCAACGAUCAGUAGCCGACCUGAGAGGGUGACCGGCCACAUUGGGACUGAGACACGGCCCAG
rnacentral:rRNA from 1 species